GCCGAGGGGGGCGGGGCGCGCGGGACGUGCUGCCGCGUCGUCACCAGCUGAAUGGGCGGCGGCGGAGCAUGUGUGUGCCGCUGAGGCUGCUGCUCGCCCGGGACGCCGAGAGUGCAUGCCUCUCCCGGGCCAGACCGUGAAGCCGGAGAGGACGUGGCGGCGGCGGAGGAGGGGAAGAGCAGCGGGAGACAGGCUGGGCAUACUUGUCGGGGGCUGAAGGGCCCCGGCUUGGCGGGGGUUAUGGCAUCGCUUGCGGACCGAAUGCGAGGCAACGGGCGCAUCGCCGCUGGGCUCCUGCUCAACCUCCUGGUGUCCAUCUGCAUCGUGUUCCUCAACAAAUGGAUCUAUGUGCACCACGGCUUUCCUAACAUGAGCCUGACCCUGGUGCACUUCGUGGUCACCUGGCUGGGCUUGUACAUCUGCCAGAAACUGGACAUCUUUGCCCCCAAAAGUCUCCCGCCUUCCAAACUCCUCCUCCUGGCCCUCAGCUUCUGCGGCUUCGUGGUCUUCACCAAUCUCUCUCUGCAGAACAACACCAUAGGCACCUAUCAGCUAGCCAAGGCCAUGACCACGCCGGUCAUCAUAGUCAUCCAGACCCUCUUCUACAAGAAAACCUUCUCUACCAAAAUACAGCUCACGCUGAUUCCUAUAACUUUAGGUGUAAUCCUAAAUUCUUAUUACGAUGUGAAGUUUAAUUUCCUUGGAAUGGUGUUUGCCGCUCUUGGUGUUUUAGUUACAUCCCUUUAUCAAGUGUGGGUAGGAGCCAAACAGCAUGAAUUGCAAGUGAACUCGAUGCAGCUGUUGUACUACCAGGCGCCCAUGUCCUCCGCCAUGUUGCUGGUCGCCGUGCCCUUCUUCGAGCCCGUGUUCGGGGAAGGAGGACUAUUUGGCCCCUGGUCCGUGUCGGCACUGCUUAUGGUGCUGCUCUCUGGAGUAAUUGCUUUCAUGGUGAACUUAUCGAUUUAUUGGAUCAUUGGGAACACAUCACCAGUCACGUAUCCUUUUCCUAGUAACUCACAAAUGCAUAGUCUUUUAUAUUUUCCCAAACUCUGUCACAAUUAUUUCCUUCUGGGAGUCUUGCAUUUACUAUUAUGUGGCCUAAACUGAGUAGCUAGACUGAUCUCCAGUCUUUUCUUGUAUCUUUCCACACCAGACUCUAUGGAAACUUAAAGAAAGGUGAGCUAGAGAAAUGGGUUAGUUUUCUGUCUCAUGCAGUCUUUUUUAUUUUCUUAUGCAGUAAGUGACCUUUUCCCUUACCAAAAUCAACAUAGAGUACCAAGCCUGGCACAUAGUGGAGUUAAAUAAAUACUUGUGGAGUAGAUAACGUAGUGGACGCUGGGGUUUUUAAUCACUUUUCAGUCCCUAUGGUAAUAAAGUACAGGUACAGCCAAUCCAAAAACAAAAGAUAACUUCAGACCGUUGACAUCUGACUUUUGAAUAUGUUUUUGUACUUAUUUGGAUAUGGGUGUGCCUGUUUUUCUCAGUAUUACCUCCAAUCAAGAAAUGAAAUCAGGCCUUAAAGGUCUGAAUCAUUUUUAACAUUUUGCUUGUCCUGCUGUUUCUCUUCUUGUUUCACUCUGUCUCCACUCUUAAGCAAAGUCAAAGAAGGAUUUCCCCAAAUCAGAGAGGUAGUUCAGUAACAUUAUAUCCAAGUGUGCUGAUUUAUUUAAAGGAGUGAACACUGAGAUGUCAGCAAAGUAAAAAAGCAGUCUAUUUGCCAACUAUCGAUAAAUACCAACAACAGUUAUAACAAGAAUAAUUUAAAAAACCCAACACUUAAUAAAUGUUUAAUUUCCACCAGGCACUGUUGGAAAGAAACACCUCAGGUGUAUGAGGCAUCACGCUCUCAAAGCAGCUCUGUGAGGUGAAUUUUGUCGUAUUUUGCAGAGGAGAAAGUGGAGGUGCAGAGAGGUCAAGUGACGCGCUUCCGGUCAUACAGCUGAGAAGUGUGGUGUCCAGAUUUGAACCCACGCAGUCUAGUCCCAGACCUCGUGCACCAUGCUGCCAAAUCAGGGCAUCCAGGGAUGUGCCCUAAGAACACUCGUUCGUUCAACAAAUAUUUACUGAACACCCCCUGCAAACCGUGCUGUGACUUAGUAUUUACGUGGUGAAUGUCUACUGUAUGUUGGGUGCUGGAGCAAGCAAAAAUCCUUGCUCUCCCAGGUUUCAGUGCUGGUGACGGAGACUAGAAGCAAGAAAAUUAAAGUAUACGUAGACAGUGUGAGAUAGUGUGAAGUGCCAGGGAGAAAAAGUAAAGCAGGAAAGAGGAGCUGAAGUGUCGGGGACCGGGCUGAAACUUCAGAGGGGGCAGUCAGGAAGGGGACUUCUGAGUGAAGACCGGGGGAAAUGGAAGUCGCCCCAUGCAGAUUGGAAUGAAGAGCGUUCGGGGCAGAGGGAGCCGCGGGGAGGCCCUGACGAGCAGCAAGGAGGCCUUGUGGUUGUGGUGGGGAGCGGACGGGGUGGAGAACAGCAAGGCUCUGAGCGGAACCGGCGCUGAGCAGAGCUUGUACUGAGUGAGAUGGGAAGCCGCGGACACCAGGAGCGGAGAAAGGACGUGAUUUUACCUGGGUUCUAAUGGGAUCAGUCUGGGCUGUGGGUUGAGCAGAGACCGAAGCAGGGUUUUCAGCCUGCGUGCUGUUGCCCUCGUGGGCUGGACAGGCCUUGUUUGCAGGGGGUGCCCUGCCCACUGUCGGGUGUUUCCCAGUGUCCCAGCCACUACCCGCUAGAUGCCGGUAGCGCCCCCUUCUGCCCAAUGAUGACGGCCAGAAAGGUGUCCAGACCUUUUUGGUGGCAGAAUCACCCCGGUUGAGAAGCACUGCACUGAAGGAGGCAAGAGGAGAAGGGACCCUGGAGAAAGGAUGGUGGUUUGGUACCAGGAUUGGAGUCUGGGUAUGUUUUCAAGUAGCACCAGCGGGUUUUACUGACAAAUCGGAUGUGAAGAAUAGGAGAGGAAACAGGUCGGCUCACGUGGUUUGGGGCCUGAGCGCCUGGUGUGCUGCCAUCAGCUGAACUAGGACAGCCUGAAGGAGGUUUGAGGGUGGGGAGUUGGGGGGAGAACCGGUCUGGGAGUUCAGGGUCGGGGUCUCAGCGGCAGCUCUUCCAGAGACGGGUGUCCUGUGUAGAUGCUGUUUAAAGCGGGGAGGCUGGUGCCGGUUACCAUGCAAACAAGUAGAGGAAGAGCCGCCAUGAGAUUGGGUCCUGGGUCGUGUCGGUGUUGACUCUCCGGAGCUGAGAGGAGCUGGCAGUGGAGGCAGAGGAAGGGCGACCAAGGCAGGGGAGGGAAGCCGUACAGACCCCCCAGGUGAGGAGGAAGGGGUCAGCCGUGUUGAAUGCCACUGACAGGUCAAGUCGAGGAAGGCCGGGAAUUGAGGAGGGGGCUCGGGAAGGUGGAGGGCGCUGAGGUUGUGACGAGAGCUUUCUGAGCAGGGAGGGGAAAGCCGGAGUGAGCAGAGAGGGGAAUGAGGGGAACUGGAAAUACCAGGUCUAGACUGUGCCUUUUUGAUGGAAUUUAAUGUAUAUAUACCUUUUUUACCUCACUGAAGAAUUUCUUUAAAGUUGCCUUCCCUCUCGUGUAACUGCCUUCCACAGGUCAUGAACUACGUCAGAAGAGAGCUGAGGAGUAAGGAAACACUGAAGUGUUAGAACCAGUGUUAGACCCAGCGUGCUUUGAGACAGUUGUGCGUGGAAAAUGAAGCCUGUCCUCUGAUGGUUAGAAUUAGCGUCCUGGGGAGAGAGUACCUCUAAGACCAUGGCUCAUGCUUCUUUUCGAAGAUUGAUUAUGUGAAGUCUGUAGGAUGCUUCAAUUAUACCAAAUGAAAUACAUGAAAUUAAAGUUCUAUAAUAGCGAGGAUCCAUAUCACUGUUCUACAAAUGUGUCACGGUUUGUAAGUGUUCAUACCCUUCUGAGGAAGGACUGCGAGGACUCCUUUACUUGGUCGUAGGUGGCCCCCAGCGUGAGCUCUUUUAUAAUUUCAGCCGAAGUGUUUAAGUCAGAAUUUAAAUCUAGCAUUUCUAUUUUAGUUGGUUUAGUAAAACUUCCUGCUUAUUUCACUUACAGAAAUGAAAUAUCAUUUACAGAAAGCAAAGUGUAGGAAAGAAGACCCUAAGACAAAAUCCAGAUCUGAAAGUACCAUAUUUCCAGUAGAAAAUUGAUGUAAGAAGUUACACGUUAUCCAGAAAACUACAGGUGCUAUAGGUAUUCUCUUGUUUCUGAGCUCUCUGUGAACUCUAGAAACUGCGUAUGACAUUAAAAACCAAAAUAGCUCCAUGUUUAAGUGGCCCAAAGAGGAGACUAUGAACGGAACUGAGCAGGUGUCUUAUCCCAUUCUCUCGGCCUCUCGGAGCAUUUCAUGUUGGUAAUUUCUUGGUACCAGGUCCCCGCUGUCACCCCCUACCUCCCACGUUGGAGGCAGGCAUGGAGCUUUCUUUGGCACUGAAGGCUUUGUUGUGAACUCUCUUUCUAAGGUGACUGAGGAAAAUUUUCAUGCAGCAACUCAGGGCAAAUACUAUCCAAACGUUAAGCAGAAACUUGGUGAAAAUAUAAGGAAAGAUUUUAAAGAGAAGUAGAAAAGUAGUGAAUAUUUAACCAGCUCCAUUAGUUUCUAGAAUAAUUUUUUUAAAUGAUACAGGGGAAAUACAGGGUUUCCACUGAAGGAGUGGGGGCUCGACUAUUAGUGCCACAGAUUUCCUCACACAGCGUGUCUCUGCCUUCCAGCUUCUUGACCGUUGACUGUUAAAAGCUGUUGUCGAUAAUUUCUCACAAUACAUUGAGACAGUCCCUCUUGUAACAAAUAAAUCUUUUAAAAAUAUUACAUAUAAACUUUAAAUGAAAAAAAAAAACACAACUCUUCAGAGGACAAAAAACCACCUAUAAAAAAUAUACCUUUUUGGAUUUUUUUUUCAUGGCCUGUUUGAUGUGAAAAGCCUGACUGAAAAUCUGUUUUGACAGAAUUUCCAUGUUUCAGUCAAUUGUCAGGUGACUGGUACGUGAGAUUUUCUGUUUUUGUUUUAAAUAUUCUUUGGUUCUUCUCAGUUUCUAAGGAAAUAUUUUACUGUGCUAAGAAUCAGGAAGCACUCUGUCUUACCAGAUGAGCCUCAGGCAUUAUGUUUCUCUAAGAAAUGUUCUCCGUGUGUGUUUAAAUAACAUAUAGUUAUUUCCCCAAAGCUGGAGAAAAGUAUUUCUGUGCAGUGAGGAUUAUGUGACUUCCGCACACGGACAGCUGAGUCUAUUUGUGCUGUGUGGAAAUUCUAUUUUAACUGUAAAUACGCAGGGGGUGUAAUAAAUGUUGGGGAGGGUUAUAAUAAAUGGCUGCUGUCAGUAGGAAUGAAAUAAAAAGGUUGGAGCAAGAUAGGGUCAGGGGAUGUGCAUAUAUAAUUGAAUAAAAUAUGUGCCACUGGAACUGGAGUCUGAUCAACAUUUUUUACCCUGAAGAUGAUCUUCCCAUCGAAAAGGAAAUCUCUGGGGGAAAUGACCAGGCCCAGCCACAGAAACAAACCAGAAAACAGUGCCGUGGAUAACACCCACUGUCCUUUUGUUACAGAUGUAACUGUACUUGUUUGUAAUUCUAUGUUAAGUGGCCGAACUUCAGUUUUUACCUGUUAUAAAUAAAGAGAACCUGAUAUUUUUACUUUUCAUCUUGCGCGUCAGAACUUUUUAGAGCCAGUGAAAGAAGGAUCGCCUCUGUGUGUAUUUGCAGUGGUAAUGCUGGUCUGUCCAGCCCCCAAAAAUGCAGCUUCUAAUAAAACAAAAUUCUCAUGUUACUUUAAAAUAACACGGGGGCGCCUGGCUGGCUUAGUCGGAGGAGCGUGAGAC